rnacentral:misc_RNA from 1 species
GUUCCGUAGGUGAACCUGCGGAAGGAUCAUUCAUAUUAAAUGUAGUAUGGAACUUUGUUAAAUCCAUAUCAACCUUGUGAGCAAGGUCUGCGUUGACUUUUCUCUCUGGAGGAUCAGUGUGAAACAUCAACUAUAUCUCAACUUGUUGUCUGAAUAAUAUUAUGAAUGAAACAAUUCAAAAUACAACUUUCAACAACGGAUCUCUUGGCUCUC